rnacentral:rRNA from 1 species
AACGAACGCUGGCGGCAUGCCUAACACAUGCAAGUCGAACGAGAUCCUUCGGGGUCUAGUGGCGCACGGGUGCGUAACGCGUGGGAAUCUGCCCUUAGGUUCGGAAUAACAGUUAGAAAUGACUGCUAAUACCGGAUGAUGACGUUAAGUCCAAAGAUUUAUCGCCUGAGGAUGAGCCCGCGUAGGAUUAGCUAGUUGGUGUGGUAAAGGCGCACCAAGGCGACGAUCCUUAGCUGGUCUGAGAGGAUGAUCAGCAACACUGGGACUGAGACACGGCCCAGACUCCUACGGGAGGCAGCAGUGGGGAAUAUUGGACAAUGGGCGCAAGCCUGAUCCAGCAAUGCCGCGUGAGUGAUGAAGGACUUAGGGUUGUAAAGCUCUUUUACCCGGGAUGAUAAUGACAGUACCGGGAGAAUAAGCCCCGGCUAACUCCGUG